GCCUUCGUGGUGUAACGGUCAAGCACACUCAGUUCAUAUUCGAAAGGUCCGUGGUUCGAGUCUCGGCGAGGGCA
rnacentral:tRNA from 1 species